AUUGAACGCUGGCGGCAGGCCUAACACAUGCAAGUCGAGCGGAUGAAGGGAGCUUGCUCCUGGAUUCAGCGGCGGACGGGUGUGUAAUGCCUAGGAAUAUGCCUGGUAGUGGGGGAUAACGUCCGGAGACGGGCGCUAAUACCGCAUACGACCUGAGGGAGAAAGUGGGGGAUCUUCGGACCUCACGCUAUCAGAUGAGCCUAGGUCGGAUUAGCUAGUUGGUGGGGUAAUGGCCUACUAAGGGGACGAACCGUAACUGGUCUGAGAGGAUGAUCACUCACACUGGAACUGAGACACGGUCCAGACUCCUACGGGAGGCGGAAGUGGGGAAUAUUGGACAAUGGGCGAAAGCCGGAUCCAGCCAGGCCGCGUGUGGGAAGAAGGUCUUCGGAUUGUAAAGCACUUUAAGUUGGGAGGAAGGGCAGUAAGUUAAUACCUUGCUGUUUUGACGUUACCAACAGAAUAAGCACCGGCUAACUUCGCG
rnacentral:rRNA from 1 species